AAAAACUUUCUUAUAGGAUCAAAUUUGCGAUCUUCGAAUACAUUCUUAUAAGAGAAACAUUUUAUUGUUCCUAGUAGUUGCUGAACGUGAGCACAUAGUUGCAAUUUCAUUUACAACAGUGUGUUACGUUUUGCAUUUGUGUUUCUAAAGCUUAUACAAUGCUUGCUAGGCGUACAGUCAAGAACAUCCCCAAGUAGGCUUCAGCAGAGCUCUAAUUAGAUAAUGUUUGCCACGCGUCAAGGAGAAGAAGAUAAUGUCACUAAAACCUUUUGUCAAUCGACUUGGGUAACUGGAUUCCCAUACUGCUUUAAUUGACCUGAUAAACUAAUUGCGUAUCAUUUAGGUGUGACAAUGUUCCUCCAGAGAUAAACAGGCUGAUGUGCAGGAUCAACUAUCAUGCUCUGAAGUUCCUUCCUGAGAUUGAGCAGAUGGCUGAUCAACUCAUUUCAAGGAUGAGAAACCGCACUGGUAGUUCAAAUCCUUUCAUUGCUCUUCACUUGAGAUUUGAGAAAGGAAUGGUGGGUCUAUCAUUCUGUGAUUUUAUUGGAACAAGGUCGGAGAAAGCUCUCAUGGCUGCAUACAGAAAGAAACAAUGGCCUCAGCGGUUUAAGGUUAUCUAGAUUAUGAUCAUUAUUCCUAUAAAGCCGCAGUGACCAUUUCAUUUGUGAUAUAUUUGUCUUCCUUUUUGUUUACUUUGUUGAUUAUUUCAGUUUAUUUUGUUGAUGAUUUUGUUUAAUGAACUUUAUUAUAUAUUGGUUGAUGAAGAUUAUGAACUGGGCGUUGGCCUGUUGCCUUUCAGUUUAUUAGACAUCUGUUUGAAAUUUCA